rnacentral:rRNA from 1 species
UAGGAGGGGCGGCGACGGUGGGUGAGAAGGACCAAGAACGGACUAGGAGAGCUAGCUCGGUGGGUUGGUCGGAGGAAGGAACAAUAGGGGUAGCCCGGUUGAUGGAGAGGGUGGAGCCCUAGGUAGGGGUAGGUUAGUUACACUCACAGGAUCUAGGUUUUAAGGAGAGCUAGAGAGGGGUGGUUGGUGGCCGGGGGAGACGAAGUGAAGCUAAGAGGUUGUUGGCUCGGGGAACGCGUGGUGGAACGAGCUCGUCUACUCGGGACGGCGACGAGAGGAAGGGAGGUAGAGAGGGACGACGAGGGAGGAGAGUGUAGAGAGAGAAAGAGAGACACAGAGUGUCCAACGGUACCUACGGACUUGCGGAGGUCCUGGGGCAGACGGGGCGGCGCAGCGCCUAGGCCGGUGGUCCUGGGAGGUCGCGGCGACGGAGACGGUACCUGCGGUCCAGGGUUCCAGGGGCGCGGGCAGGAGUACCGUGGGACGUAGGAGAAGCAGCGAACCCUCGAGGAGUGGAAGCGGGCGCAACCGCGGUACAGGCGGUACGGCGACGGAGGCGAAGCUAGGCCGUCCUUUACCCUGGGCUUCUGGAAAGCGCGGACCUAGGAGGGGCUCGAGUGGUCACGGAAGCUGGAGGGGCAGCGCGGCAAAAAGCGGCCUCAGGAUUCUUUGCGAUCCGGCGGCGACGCAGGAGACGCAGCGCCGGCGCGGUUCCGAGGACAAAGAAGCCGCAACUGGCGCGGUCGAGGGGACGUAGCGAGUAAGGGGCGAAGUCCUUGCUCUGCUACUCGCGACGUCGUUGGCGCAACUGGCGUAGCCAGUCUAGGCCAGCCGGGCACUACAAAGGGGCAGCCCGGUCACGCGGAGGAGAGACCGGGUCGAAAUCAAAGCCGGACGAUCCGGGCUAAAGGCUAUUGCAGCGCAAACACUCCUAGGCAAGCUGAUGCAGACAAACAGAAGAAGUACCUGAGCAAGAAGAAGGAACGCACUAGAGUCAACGUCCACUGCUACUAUGGUAACGUCUACUGCGUUGACUCGAGUUCACCCUCGAGCUACUUCUAACACAAACAACACAACAAAGCAAAGAUCAACUAGUCAUCACCUCGGGUCAGCCCUGCUAGCCCCUAGAUACGUAAACCCCAACAGAAAUAAAUAAACCAAGGCAUCAGCCUGGAACUAACAUAAGACCUACUACAUUACGAUAUAAAUACAUAACACACUUCACCGCCAACAUUCGGUUGAGAAAUAGGGAAAG